rnacentral:rRNA from 1 species
UACGUAGGGGGCAAGCGUUGUCCGGAUUUAUUGGGCGUAAAGAGCGUGUAGGCGGCCAGGUAGGUCCGUUGAAAACUCGAGGCUUAACCCCGAGCCUGCAGUGGAUACGGGCAGACUAGAGGUAGGUAGGGGAGAAUGGAAUUCCCGGUGUAGCGGUGAAAUGCGCAGAUAUCGGGAGGAACACCGGUGGCGAAGGCGGUUCUCUGGGCCUUACCUGACGCUGAGGAGCGAAAGCGUGGGGAGCGAACAGG